GACGAACGCUGGCGGCGUGCCUAAUACAUGCAAGUAGAACGCACAGUUUAUACCGUAGCUUGCUACACCAUAGACUGUGAGUUGCGAACGGGUGAGUAACGCGUAGGUAACCUGCCUGGUAGCGGGGGAUAACUAUUGGAAACGAUAGCUAAUACCGCAUAAUAUUAAUUAUUGCAUGAUAAUUAAUUGAAAGGUGCAAUUGCACCACUACCAGAUGGACCUGCGUUGUAUUAGCUAGUAGGUGGGGUAACGGCUCACCUAGGCGACGAUACAUAGCCGACCUGAGAGGGUGAUCGGCCACACUGAGACUGAGACACGGCCCAGACUCCUACGGGAGGCAGCAGUAGGGAAUCUUCGGCAAUGGACGAAAGUCUGACCGAGCAACGCCGCGUGAGUGAAGAAGGUUGUCGGAUCGUAAAGCUCUGUUGUAAGAGAAGAACGGGUGUGAGAGUGGAAAGUUCACACUGUGACGGUAUCUUACCAGAAAGGGACGGCUAACUACGUG
rnacentral:rRNA from 1 species